rnacentral:rRNA from 1 species
ACGAAGGGUGCAAGCGUUACUCGGAAUUACUGGGCGUAAAGCGCGCGCAGGUGGGUGUGCAAGUCGGAAGUGAAAUCCUGGGGCUCAACCCUGGGGCUGCUUCCGAAACUGCAGGUCUAGGGACUGGUAGAGGCUGGUAGAAUUCCCGGUGCAGCGGUGGAAUGCGUAGAGAUCGGGAAGAAUACCCGUGGCGAAGGCGGCCAGCUGGGCCAGGUCCGACACUGAGGCGCGAGAGCGUGGGGAGCGAACAGGA